rnacentral:rRNA from 1 species
GACGAACGCUGGCGGCGUGCUUAACACAUGCAAGUCGAACGGAAAGGCCCUGCUUUUGUGGGGUGCUCGAGUGGCGAACGGGUGAGUAACACGUGAGUAACCUGCCCUUGACUUUGGGAUAACUUCAGGAAACUGUGGCUAAUACCGGAUAGGAGCUCCUGCUGCAUGGUGGGGGUUGGAAAGGUGCGGCGGUUGGGGAUGGACUCGCGGCUUAUCAGCUUGUUGGUGGGGUAGUGGCUUACCAAGGCUUUGACGGUGGGCCGGCCUGGGAGGGUGACCGGCCACAUUGGGACUGAGAUAGGGCCCAGACUCCUACGUGGGGCAGCAGUGGGGAAUAUUGCACAAUGGGCGGAAGCCGGAUGCAGCAACGCCGCGUGCGGGAUGACGGCCUUCGGGUUGUAACCCGCUUUCGCCUGUGACGAAGCGUGAGUGACGGUAAUGUGUAAAGAAGCACCGGCUAACUACGUG